GGAGUCUCCGUAAAUAGGGGACUAAAUUGCCUAACUUUCCUAACUCUUAAACCAACUUUGAAUAAAUAUAAAGCUAAGAAAAAUGUAUUAUACACCUGUUUGCUAAAUCAAAGUCAAUAAUUAAUCAGGAUAUUUCCUGGAAAGCAGAAGUUCCUUGAAAGGCAAGACGUAUACAUGAGUUUCACUCGCUCGACACUUUGACAGUUCAAUUGGGGGCUCUUAAACCCUAGCCAAUUUGGGACACAACCCGCGAUUUACCUGGUCUGCGUGAAGAGAGGUUGGAUCGUAAACCCCAGGAUUAGUCGCUGUAAGGUGGACACCUGGGUAUCCAAAAAAAAAAAAGUCAAUAAUUAAUUUUAAACUGCAUAUUUGACAAGACUCAUAAUUUUUCAACUACAAAUUUCUUCAAAUUUACUUAAAAUCUGAUAUUAAUCCCCAUUAAACACGGACUAUAUAUGCAUCUGUGUUCCUGGAGGAUUAAGGUAGUUCAAACUAAAAAAUACAACAACAAAAACUAUGUUCAAUAAAGAUGAAAUAACAUUUUAUCCAGUCUCGUAUAGGAACCUCCUGAAACUCCCACCAAAUGAAAAGUGAUUUUUAUUCUUUGGCCUUGUCCCAUUUUGCAUCUAAUCUUGCGUUGGGAAAGCUGCAUAAUUCGUGCUUCUGCCGUUGAAUCCUCUUAGCUGUUUGAGGACUCGGAUGUGUUCCCAUUGCUACAUUUUUCUGAGCAUAUAAGACGAUUGAACUUAUAGAUAGGAUCGAAGAUCAUCACUCGGAGAGUUAAGAAUUUCAGGGAAGGGUGGGGGCAACAGAAGGAACUUAACCAUCAAAUAAAGGAAAAGGUGAUAAAUGGUGGAUUACUCUCUAGUGAUUUUC
rnacentral:lncRNA from 1 species